rnacentral:rRNA from 1 species
UACGGAGGGAGCUAGCGUUGUUCGGAAUUACUGGGCGUAAAGCGCACGUAGGCGGCUUUGUAAGUUAGAGGUGAAAGCCCGGGGCUCAACUCCGGAACUGCCUUUAAGACUGCAUCGCUUGAAUCCAGGAGAGGUGAGUGGAAUUCCGAGUGUAGAGGUGAAAUUCGUAGAUAUUCGGAAGAACACCAGUGGCGAAGGCGGCUCACUGGAGCUGGUAUUGACGCUGAGGUGGCGAAAGCGUGGGGAGCAAACAGG